rnacentral:ncRNA from 1 species
AGUCAAUCAACGAUGAAAGAUACCUUUUAAAUGGCAGUAUUGAUCAGGGAGAAAAACAUAACUGAAAGUUUUUCAUAAGGACAUUUAAUUGACCACUUUCUAGAGGCUUAAGUCAGUCGGGUCGUUUCCGUUAAAGACGCUUAAAGUUGGAGAAUCACCAUUUGAUUCUCAAUCUGGGUGGAACCGCGAAAUCAAUUCGUCCCUGGG